CCAUCCAGUCGCGAGGCGUUCGCCGGGCAGAGUGGAGGUGGUUACGUUGUCCGCAAGGAUAUGUGGUCGGUUACCGCGACGCCGCCGCGGUUCGCGCAGGCACAGGUACGAAGUGCGCGCGUUUUCGAGGCGGUAUCACGAAAAGCGCAGGAGUGGCGUUUCGUUCUACGUAUCGUUCCGAUAUCAUUGCUACAGUUCAUCGUUGAUGUACAGUGGGUAAUAGGAGGUUCGUAAAUCGGCAAAAAGAAAGGAAAGACGAGGAAAAAAAGAAGAAAGAAAAGAGAUAGAGCGCGGUUCUAUCGCGCGGUGCAGUGUGAAAAGUGUUCGCGAAAGGGGGCUUUUGCUUCUUCUUGUGUGUGCGUGUACGUGCAUGUGCCACAGCAAAAGCACGUAAGAACGUAACUAGUGACACACGGAAAAAGGAGAGAGAGAGAAAGACGAAUAAACACGGGUCGUCGGAUAAUCCUUGUGUACGGUGUGCGAGUUUCGUGAAUGUGCGUCAAAUGACAGUGAGGUGAUCAAUGUGCUCGAAACAUGGCUGAGGAGCUGGUGGUCACCCUGAACCGCGGCGACUCGUCCGGAUUCGGGUUUUCGCUCCUCGGUACCGCGGGUUUGCCGCACGUCAUCUACGACAUCGUUGAGAAUUCGCCGGCAGCAAAGAGCGGCAAGGUCGAGGCCGGCGACGUCAUACUCAGGGUGAACGAAGUCGAUGUCAACCGAUUUAGUACUAAAGAAGUGCUGAAAUGUCUGCGGCUCUCGUCGGAUCCCGUCACCCUGAAGUUGAGAAGGGAUCCUGCGAUAAAAGCUCAUGUGCGUCGGCUAUUGUCACCUGGACAACCGGUAUGUGACGAGACGGAUUCGUCGAAGAUAUCUCUCGAGGCAACAACGCCCGCGAAUAACCCUAGAACAGUGUCGUCCGGCAACGGAGAGGGCACAGAACUAAGGAAGCCUGGAACGCCAGAACUUCCGGGAGGUUCGCCACAGGAACCAACUGGGGCGACGCAAUAUGCGACCAGAAGCAAUGGAUCCUAUAGUGAUGCCUCUGGCUCCUCCGAGUUAGAGGCACUACUUCCACCAAUGGAUAGUUUCAAAGAAGAGGAACGUGCCCAAUGGGAGCCGCUUUCCGGUGACAAGUUUUCCAGACAGAAGAACACGCCUAGGUUCGAAGCGUACAUGAUGACCGGUGACCUAAUGUUGAACCUGUCGCGCACCCAGCAAAGCAGCGGCCUGCUCCCGAAGCACCAGAAGAAGGUCGACUCCCUGAGGUACAACAAUCAUCACACCCACCAUCACCAUAAUCACCACAAUCACCACCAUCAUAACUCGGUACCCACCAGUCCUAACGAGAUGCUGGGCCAUCACCGUGCCUACAAGUGUACCGGUUCGAAUUCGGCCAGCACCUCACCGGUCGGGAUCAGCAAGCGUGAAAGCGGCCAGUGUCCGGGCCAGAGCGAUAAUAGCAAACAAAAUACCGCGAGUUUUGGUUAUUCGAGCGGUUUCGUCCGCACCUCGCGCUCCGAGGACCACUUGCAAUUCCAAAAGGACCCGUCGAUGAGCGCGGUGGACAUUGACAUUGACGAUGACGUCACGUCCAGCCUAAACACCCUGUUGGACACGAGGCCUGACAGCGGCCAAGGUUUGUCCAGCGAGAGGAUCGUCUGGACGUACAACGCGCCGGUCAGCUCGCCAUCAGCCUCGGAGCGCACCUCCUGCUGCCAGAAUGGCAGCUCCUCGCAAUCCUCGUCGAGUAGCUCCUCGACCGAGGGAACUAGUCCCCAAAGAUCCUUAUCGCCAACUUCCCCUACCUCGGUCUCGUCCUCCGUCAUGUCCUCCAAUUCUGGAUCCCGUAGGUUCCCACCGCCGGUACCCACGGGCACCACACCGUCAGCCCUGGGGCCCUCCGGCGACGGAACCGCAUCCUCGGCCUCCGGCCUUCAUCCCACCAACGGUGACCUCAGCCAGUCCGAGGCGAUCAGCAACAUGUCCAGUCCCGACUACAACGACGAAGAGACUAUGGACAUACUGAGUGCACGCGAUAUCAUGAUGGUCAGUGAUCCGAGUGACAGUGACUCGACGAUACUCGCCAGCGAACCACCUCAGAGGAGGCUGAAGGCAGCUGCUGCGGCCACCGUGCAACAAACGUCGAACGUUUACGCAUCGGCACAGGAGAAUACCGAGCACAGGAUAGUGAUACAGGUGAAGGGACCGGACAAGGACGUCGCGGUGGCGAGGAAUACGAGUCCAAGGCAGAACAGGAGACGGGGAAAUCUCGGUAAUCCGGAACUCGUAGCCACGUCCACCGCGCAGAACAUCGUGCAACGCCCGCCCGGCAAUAACACCGCUGGGAACGUUACGCCUGAAUUCGUUGGGUACCAGGAGCUGAAAGAGAGUGAAGACGAGAAUGAAGCUUUAAAUAUCGGAAAUUACGAAGAUAAGCACGCGUCGCCACCACAAUCUGCAGAUGAGGAAAGCGAUAUCGAAAGUCUACACAGCUUCCAUUACAGUCCAAAAGCAGUGGACCUGCCAUCAGCCGUUCGAUUAGCCAAAAGACUAUACUCCUUAGACGGCUUCAAAAAGUCUGACGUCUCUAGACAUCUUAGCAAAAACAACGAUUUUAGUAGAGCGGUAGCCGAAGAAUAUUUGAGAUACUUCAACUUCGACCGAGACACGCUGGACGUGGCUCUUAGAAAGUUCCUUGCCCAGUUCUCUUUGACCGGGGAGACCCAGGAAAGGGAGAGGGUUCUUGUACAUUUCUCCAAGAGAUUUCUCGAUUGUAAUCCGGGCGCUUUCAAUUCUCAGGAUGCUGUUCAUACUUUAACCUGUGCUAUAAUGCUGCUCAAUACAGAUCUCCAUGGUCAGAAUAUUGGUAGAAAGAUGUCAUGUAACGAAUUUAUCGAAAACCUCUCGGAACUGAACGAUGGCGAUAACUUCCCCAGAGAGGUGCUAAAGCAGCUAUAUAAUGCCAUUAAAUCGUUCCCCUUGGAAUGGGCCUUAGAUGAAGAAGGGGAUGAAACUGCGAAUCAAGCAAUCCAACAGGGUGACGGUCCAGCAAUAUCGGGUACAGGAAAUCCAUUUCUUGAUGUGCCAAAUGUUACAGGUGCUACGGAGUUCAAGAAGGGAUAUGUUAUGCGGAAAUGUUGUUUCGAUUCCAAUGGAAAGAAAACACCAUUCGGGAAACGUGGUUGGAAGAUGUAUUAUUGUACAUUGAGAGAACUUGUAUUAUAUUUGCACAAAGAUGAGCAUGGCUUCCGUAAUGAUAGUUUGCAUAACGCGAUACGCAUUCAUCAUGCGUUAGCUACUAAAGCAUCUGACUAUACGAAGAAGGAACACGUGUUUAGGUUACAGACUGCUGAUCAAGCAGAGUAUCUCUUCCAAACAAGUGAUUCCAAAGAAUUGCAAUCGUGGAUUGACACGAUCAAUUUCGUGUGUGCCAGUUUUUCUUGCCAACCAUUAGCAGGCGCGGUUGGUUCACAGCGAAAGUUUCAACGACCUCUGCUUCCGUGCAGCCACACGAAAUUAUCUCCUAGAGAACAAUUACGGGACCAUGAGGAGAGAGUGAGCAAAUUGGAAGCUGAAUUGGAAGAGCACAGACGACAUCCGCCUGAGAGAGGAGCUAAAGCUCUUACUGUACAGAAUUAUAAGGAAAAAGAUGCCUAUUUACAUCAUGAGUAAGUGAGAUGUAGAAGUAAAUUCUUAUUAUGCAAUAAAAUUGUUUUGCAUUUCCUAUACUCUAUGGAUCUCAUGUUUUAUCGAAUCGGAGCAAGUUACUUAACAUUCAAUGAGAAAAACAAAAUUUGCAAAGAGUAGAAGAACGUGAUACUUUCACCAUGCUUAAGAGGUAUAAAACAUACGCAUACCUGUUACGAUCCAGGUUGGCUUUUACGGAAGUGGAACCAUCGUUAGUUGAGAGCAGUAUUGGCGAGGUGGAUGAGGGAAGCGGAACUUUGUUGAAUUCGGAUGUUGCAUUGGUGCCACCGCCUGUCCCCGAUCGACCGGCCAUAAAUAGGUACAGUUACAGGGCUGCCAUUUACAACCGUAAUCUGCUAAAUGGUCAGGACUACGGCGGGGACAUUGGUUGACGUGUGAUGGGUGUCUUUUCAGCAUGUGUGGUCUAAUCUGACCUGCAUAUGCAGGCAAUAGGAACAGCUGAAAUUUAGAAGAGAAUAUUAAUGAAAAAAUAACGAUGUAUCCGACGCAUCACUUGUUAAGUACUGUACUUUAUCGUAUCAUGUACUCACCAUUCUCUUUUACUAUAUUUAAUCGUAAAUUUAUCAGCGGCCAUUAAAAAAAAUACCGAUAAUACUAGCAUUCGUAAAGUGCU
rnacentral:misc_RNA from 1 species